CCUACGGGUGGCAGCAGUGGGGAAUAUUGGGCAAUGGACGCAAGUCUGAACCAGCAAAGUCGCGUGAAGGAUGACUGCCCUAUGGGUUGUAACCUUCUUUUAUAUGGGCAUAGCAUGUUCCACUUGUGGGAUUUUGUAUGUACCAUAUGAAUAAGGAUCGGCUAGCUCCGUGCCAGCAGCCGCGGUAAUACGGAGGAUCCGAGCGUUAUCCGGAUUUAUUGGGUUUAAAGGGAGCGUAGGUGGAUGGUUAAGUCAGUUGUGAAAGUUUGCGGCUCAACCGUAAAAUUGCUUGUGAAACUGGCAGUCUUGAGUACAGUAGAGGUGGGCGGAAUUCGGGGUGUAGCGGUGAAAUGCUUAGAUAUCACGAAGAACUCCGAUGGCGAAGGCAGCUUACUGGACUGCAACUGACACUGAGGCGCGAAAGUGUGGGUAUCAAACAGGAUUAGAUACCCGGGUAGUC
rnacentral:rRNA from 1 species